AUAUCAAUAAGCGGAGGAAAAGAAACUAACAAGGAUUCCCCUAGUAACUGCGAGUGAAGAGGGAAAAGCUCAAAUUUAAAAUCUGGCAGCUUCGCUGUCCGAGUUGUAAUUUAGAGAAGUGUUACCCGCGUUGGACCGUGUACAAGUCUCCUGGAACGGAGCGUCAUAGAGGGUGAGAAUCCCGUCUUUGACACGGACUACCAAGGUUUUGUGGUACGCUCUCGAAGAGUCGAGUUGUUUGGGAAUGCAGCUCUAAAUGGGUGGUAAAUUCCAUCUAAAGCUGAAUAUUGGCGAGAGACCGAUAGCGCACAAGUA
rnacentral:rRNA from 1 species